UACGGAGGGUGCGAGCGUUGUCCGGAAUCACUGGGCGUAAAGGGCGCGUAGGUGGCUUGGUAAGCGUGCGGUGAAAGCCCGGGGCUCAACCCCGGGUCGGCCGUGCGGACUACCAUGGCUUGAGCACUGUAGAGGCAGGUAGAAUUCCGGGUGUAGCGGUGGAAUGCGUAGAUAUCCGAAAGAACACCGGUGGCGAAGGCGACUCGCUGGGCUCUUGCUGACACUGAAUCACGACAGCGUGGGGAGCAAACAGG
rnacentral:rRNA from 1 species